UACGUAGGGGGCAAGCGUUGUCCGGAAUCAUUGGGCGUAAAGAGCGUGUAGGCGGCUCGGUAAGUCCGUUCUGAAAGUCCAGGGCUCAACCCUGGGAUGCGGAUGGAUACUGUCGGGCUCGAGUCCGGAAGAGGCGAGUGGAAUUCCCGGUGUAGCGGUGAAAUGCGCAGAUAUCAGGAGGAACACCGGUGGCGAAGGCGGGUCUCUGGGCCGAUACUGACGCUGAGGAGCGAAAGCGUGGGGAGCAAACAGG
rnacentral:rRNA from 1 species